rnacentral:rRNA from 1 species
UUCCGCAAUGGGCGAAAGCCUGACGUAGCAAUACCGCGUGAGGGAGGAAGGCUCUUGGNUCGUAAACCUCUAUUCUCAGGGAAGAAAAAAAUGACGGUACCUGAGGAACAAGCAUCGGCUAANUCNGUGCUAGCAGCCGCGGUAAUACGGAGGAUGCAAGCGUUAUCCGGAAUGAUUGGGCGUAAAGCGUCCGCAGGUGGCUAUGUAAGUCUGCUGUUAAAGAGUCUAGCUCAACUAGAUAAAAGCAGUGGAAACUACAUGGCUAGAGUGCGUUCGGGGCAGAGGGAAUUCCUGGUGUAGCGGUGAAAUGCGUAGAGAUCAGGAAGAACACCGGUGGCGAAAGCGCUCUGCUAGGCCGCAACUGACACUGAGGGACGAAAGCUAGGGGAGCGAAUGGGAUUAGAUACCCCAGUAGUCCUAGCCGUAAACGAUGGAUACUAGGCGUGGCUUGUAUCGACCCGAGCCGUGCCGUAGCUAACGCGUUAAGUAUCCCGCCUGGGGAGUACGCACGCAAGUGUGAAACUCAAAGGAAUUGACGGGG